UACGUAGGGUGCGAGCGUUAAUCGGAAUUACUGGGCGUAAAGCGCGUGUAGGCGGUUGCCCAAGUCGGGUGUGAAAGCCUUGAGCUCAACUCAAGAAAUGCACUCGGUACUGGGUGACUAGAGGACCGGAGAGGAUAGUGGAAUUCCCAGUGUAGUGGUGAAAUACGUAGAGAUUGGGAAGAACACCAGUGGCGAAGGCGGCUAUCUGGACGGUUUCUGACGCUAAGACGCGAAAGCGUGGGGAGCAAACAGG
rnacentral:rRNA from 1 species